GCUUGAUUAAUUAAAGAUGCAUAGAAACCCCUGUGAGGUGCCCAUAAAUUCCUAUGAUAAAGAUCACUAGAUAUAAAAUUACUGACUAAGAGAUUAUGUUUCACUAUACCAUAUUGUCAUAUAUACAUGUGGUAUUAUGAAUAAUGAAAAAAUGUAAGCAAUUAUUGAUCGAUUUGAAUGUUCCCCCUUUUGGUACCCCUUAUUGGCAGGAACAAUUUCUCCCUGACAUUGGGAAGUGUAAUACACAGAAUUGACAGGAAUUACCACCACAAUAAGAUCACAAUUGGUUUCCAUAGUGAAAUGUACAAGCUAGGUUGCACAUUUCUACAAUAGUUGGGGAAAUAUAUAUGUGUAUUUUUUCCACCUACAUUUUUUCUGUGUAUAAUUUAGUGGUGUACAGGCAAUGACCAGUGAAAGUGUAUAUUGAUUGUACAAACCAGCAGAUUUUAUGUUAAUUUUAUGUCAAGAUUACUGUAUUUUAUAUAUCUAUGGAUUAAUAUUUCAUUGGUAAGUUCUUCUUGUUAAGAUUACCUCUGUAAAAUUUGAUGAGAGCACCAAUUAUUUUGGCUGUGUGUUAAAAAUAACACAAAAUGUGUAACUAUUGAUUGAUCUGUUAUCUUGUAACAGGUUUUCCUAUUCUAAUGAGAUUGACAACUCACAGAAAACUUGUUUUAUCUACUUAAUUCCUUACGAAAAUUAAAAUAUUAAUUUUGAUAUUUGACAAGGAACAAGGAACAUUUAUUGAGUAGGAUAAUAAUUUACAUGUUUAAAAACAAGAUUGAUUUACGAUUUAACUUAGCUGAUUAAUCUAAUUGUAAUACAAAAGCAUGUUUUUGUCAACUCAAGUUGUAAUAGAUAAUGGGUGUUAGCUGUUAAAUCAGUAUUAUUUAAACACUUUAGCUGCCUGUAGUAUCUCACAAAGAUUGAAUAAUCAAUCAAAUAAUUAUCACAAACUGAUUAACAUAAAACUUAAGUCCUUGAUGGUAACAGGUGUCACAAAUCUUUUUUAAUAUUGUAGUAAGGUAUAGUUUUCUCAUAGUGACUGUAUAUAGAAAGUUUGUCGUCAUCCAUCAUUAACACCUUUGUUUCCUAGUGUGUAAACAAGUGAUGUCCUUGUUAUGAAUUUCACAGUAUUUUAAAGAUCAGAUUUCAGAAAUCAGUGACCAAUUUAAAGAUUUUCUGUCGAUCAACCUAUAGAUAUUUACUUCGGAAUAUUCAUGCAAGAAUAGUUUGCUUUGUCAGCGGAAUAAGACUUCUUUCCAUAGUAUUUCGACGAAAUACUAUUUAAUUUAUUUAAGGUUGGCAUUUAAAUUUGAUCCUACAGUAUGGAUUAAUUUGGUCAUUCAUAAAAUGCAUUCCGUCAUUGUGUCAAUAUUUGUACAGUAUGAUCUCCUGGAGGGGAGAAGUUGAACUUAAAUUAUAUAAUUUAUGAUCAUCAGUAAUCUCCCUUUGACAGAAAAGAAAAAAAUAUGGCUUCCUUGGAAUUAAACUUUGAUUAUCUUGGAAUUUAAAAUCACUGGACUAUAGGUUUAUCAUUCUGUAACCAUCUAUCCAGGUAAAAUAUACUCACAUUUAAUUUAGGGAAAGGUAAAUAUACAUUUUUCUUUCACAAAUGCAUAAACAGCUGGGAUGUGUAUGUACAUAAAUUUUCUAUUUUCAAUAUAUUCUUACACUUAGGAAUAUCUUGAUUGUGAAAAGUAACCAUGCAUUGAUUUUAUAUCAUAAUUGUUCUAAUUAUGGACCUUAUGAAACCUAACUGUAGUUGAGUAGAAAUACUUGGCAUUUUGUGUAAGUUGUAUACCUUAUUAGCCAGAGAUCUUAUCCUUCAGCUGUAUAUAAUGUGUAUUCUUGGGAUUAAAGAAAACAAACAAACUUGGAAUAAAACAGAUGGUUUUAGAUUUAUUUGAUGGGUUUAGAUGUAAAGUAAAGGUUAACCAGUCAUGUUUAUAUAUACAAAUGUAUAAGACAAAUUAGUGGUAAAAUCCAUGAAAAUGUCAUGGUUUUUCAUGUCAAUAUUUAAACAGAAUUUCGCAAUCUUACAGAGAGAUAUUUUAGUGUGGCAGCCCCCUCCCCCUUUAUGGAGCUACAUAAAUGUUUAAACUGUAUAGAUAUGUCACAGGUUCAACUCCUUAUGUUGCCUAGUUUAACAACCUCAAAACCCUUUCACACACACACACACCCUUUUCCCCCCUUAAAACCUUAACCAAUGGGGAGAUCUUACCUACACCAUGAUAUUAAGGUUAACGCAUAACAAUAGCUCAAAUAGUCCUCAAUGGGGAGAGCAUCCACAUUGUACCAUUAAAAAGAUGAAAUAACUUCAUGGUUGUCUGACCAAAUGGCUAGUGUUUUAUAAACAGGGCUAGGGUCAGUUGAUUUUGUGUCUUCUUAAAACAAAUUCAGGACAUAUAUAUUUUCUGGACUGAUCUUGAUCAAAUGAACUUACAGAAAUAAAGUUAUCAAUGACUUGAAACAGCUGAUAAUAAGUAUAACUAUAACUAUAAGAAAAGAGAGAAAUGUAUCUUUGGAAAGUAGCCAUUAUGCCAGUGGCUAUAGAUGAAGGAGAAACUUUGAUGGUGAUAUUGUCACUUUGUAAGAAAUAGUAUGAUGGGGAAAGUUGUUGUUUAUUGACAUUAAUCAUGUAAAUAAAGGUGUUAAAAAAAGAGAAGGAAAACAGUUCAAAAUGAUUUGAAUAAAAAGUUUUUAAAGUAGUUUAUCAAAAGAGUAGAUUAAAGUUCACCUAGGUCUAAAAUUUGAAGUCUAAGACUUGUGUUUACCAUGAUAUUUAUAGGCCAUUUGUUGUAAUUUUAAUGCUUGAAGGAGGUUGUUAUCAUUGGUGUUAGCAUAUCAUGUUUUAGGAUAAUUGGAGUAAGUGGAAUGUUUCUUAGGAAAAUAACUGAUUACUUUUAAUUGAUAAGACAAGUUUGUUGUUGAUCAUUAAAAUUUUAAUUUUUUUAUAUUUUUUAGUAUCUUUCAAUUCAAUGCAGAAAUAAAUGUCUCAUAUCAAUUUAGCAUUAAGUGUAAUGUUGAUAAGCUCUUGUUUAAAUUAUAUAAGUUUCUAUACUUGAUGUAUGACUAAACACAAUUGUGCAAUACCUCCUCCUACAAAUAAUGAAUAAGUCCAUUGCAAUGUACAUGCAUCUUCAGCGAUCAAAAUGUAAUACAUUCUCAUUUUAUGUAACGUUCGUUUCUGAGAUAUUAUAAGUAUUAAGGACAACAAUAUUUGGUGUUGAAUGAUUGUAAAAUAUACAUUUUCCUCUAUUAGGGUUUAUAUAAUAACCUUGACCUCAUUUUCAUAGUUCAUUGGUCAAAACCUUAAGUUCCAGUGGUUAGAUGUGUUUCUCUGAUACUAUGAGCAAACAAUCAGGUAACAAGAUCAAGUAUAUUUGGUGCAAGGAAUGGUGCCAUGGUGUCCAUGUUGGUCUGGUAUGGUAAUCCCUUCAUCUGACCUUGACCUCAUUUUCAAUUGACAAUAUUGAGUUAAAACAGAGUUCUGGAAAUCUUUUCCCUCUGAUGUUCCUUGAAGAAAAUCUGCUGGUUCUCGAUAGUGUUUCUAUUACAAAAUACCAAAAAUGUGUUGGUCCUUUGUAAAAGUUUGGUGGUCAAAACAUUCAGACCACCACUUUGGUUUAAAACCUCUACCUGAAAUAGUUUUAACAUAAAAUAUUCCAUUAUGAUCAAUUAAACAGACAAUUCAGUGGGUACACUCUUGUAUUAUUUUUGUUGUAUUCAAUUUUUUUGAGUGAUACCACAAAUUUAUUCAUUAACAAAGAUGAUGCAUUUAAUUAAUCAGUUUUGACAGUCAAUUGAGAUGUCUAUGUUGAAGUCUAUAGAAAAUGAAACAAAAUUGCAAAAUGCAAUCUGUUACUUGACUAGAAAGGAAAAUGACUGGACUUAUGGGAAUGAGUCACACUGUCACUGGUAUGAUUGCCAAUGAGACAACUAUCUAUUAGGACAAAGAAUGUAAAAACUAUAGGUCACCAUACAGCAUUCAACAAUGAGCAAAUCCCAUACCUCAUAUUAAGCAAUAAAAAUAUGCAUUACAAAAAAACUAAAACAAUGACUGUUUAGUAUAAGAUUUGUCUAUAGAUGAUUACCUACAUUCCUCCCUAAUUACAGGAAAGAUUUGUUCUAUUUGAUGAGGAAGAUAACAUAGACUACUACUCAACCUUUGAUUAGGGUUGUGAUGUUGUUUCUGUUUUGUCAAGGGUGACAUGAUUUGAUGCAUAUCAGUUUAUGUAGCUUCUGUUGGAGGGGGUGUUAGAUAUGUAUUGCACAGGCAUUAUUUUACCAUUGUUAGGUUAAGUUCUUCUAAUAUUUGAAAUGUCUUGAAAGGCGUUGUGGAACUUAAGAUCACACAGCUAUCUGGCAUUUUUUUCCUUUUUAUCUUUCUGUCCAAUUUUCCAGGUUAAACUGAAAUAUCGAUAUAUGUACAAAGUUUGAAAUAUAACCCAUGUUUUUAGAUCUGCAAAUUUUUGUCAGAUAAUUUUUUUCUACCUGCAUAGAGAUUAGAAUCACUGCUUUUGUAACAUUGUGGUACAUUACUGCCUUUUCUGUGUCCAGCGCUUUGGACCACUCAUCCUACAAGACAGUAUAUCCUCCUUUAAGUCUCUGGAGAAUACUGAUUAUAUAUUGAAUGAAUUUUAAUAUUAAAAUUUCUAGCAUGAAAAUAUGUAGACCACAACAGGAAAUAAAUUCACAUGAUAAUUGUACAUUCAUAUUUAGAAAACUUGGAUAUUUUUAGACAAAAGUUAUAUAAGGAUUAUGAUGGUCAUCCGAUAGAGGAAGUGAUAUACAUGUAUGUUGACUUCUUGUCUGAGUGAAUGUACAUCAUCAGUUAAUUAAUCACAUGUGUGUAAUAAGUAUUGCAUGUAAUUAGGGGGUGGAAUGGGGGAUAAGUAUAAUGAACUCAUUGACCAAAGGAGGAAUGAAUGAAAACUAUCAUGAAGGGCAAUCAUAAAACUAAGGUACAUGUAAAACAAUUAUCUUUACUGGAGGUCUGCAAAAAACCACUUUUUUAAACAAUUCAAUUCCUUAGAAAGCAUAAACUUAAGCCAUGAAUCAAUUAUUCAAUGAUCCUUUAAUUUUGUCUUGGGUUUGACAAUAAGAAAAAAAAAUAUUGACCUAAAUUUUGCUCUUUGGGGGUCUAGCCAAAGUGCAUUAAUAUUUUACAAAAGUCAAUUUAGGCUAGCUUUGGAAUGUCUUUAUAAGUAUUCCUGGGUUUGGUGAUAUCUGGAUGUGGGAAGCCUUGCCCUGGAAGGUCCAAACUUGGCUUAUUUUCAUAUCAUGCUUUAAAGAUCGUAAGCCAAAUGUCAGGGAUUUGAAAAAUUCUCCUCUCUAAUGACAUGUAGUUCUUUGACCUUUUUGAAAUUUGUAACAUUAUAGACCAAAGGUCAAUCAAAGUUAAUGAUGUCAUUGUACAGUUGGUUCUAACUUCUUACUCAGGGAAGUAAUGACAUAACAAAUGUCUUUAACAUAAAUCACUGCAAUUACUAUAUAAUUUCAAACCAAUUUCCUACUAGUAAAACAGUUUGUUAUUGUUUGUGUCCUUAUACUUUACCAUAUUAAGAUAUUUAGAAAAAAAGUGUGUCUGUGUAACCUGUAAGAGCACCUUGUGUAAGUGGAGGUGUUUUAUACUAAUUACUGGUGAUGAAAAUGCUUUUUUCUGUAUAUUUUUAUAAUAUCCUCACUUACCAACUGAUUACUGAUGUAGAAGAAAGUAUGUGGUGCAUUAAACACAAACAGAUGGUUUUUUAUACGACCGCAAAUUUUGAAAAAAUUUUCGUCGUAUAUUGCUAUCACGUUGGCGUCUGCGUCGUCGUCGUCGUCGUCGUCGUCGUCGUCGUCGUCGUCGUCGUCGUCGUCGUCCGUCGUCCGAAUACUUUUAGUUUUCGCACUCUAACUUUAGUAAAAGUGAAUGGAAAUCUAUGAAAUUUUAACACAAGGUUUAUGACCACAAAAGGAAGGUUGGUAUUGAUUUUGGGAGUUUUGGUCCCAACAUUUUAGGAAUUAGGGGCCAAAAAGGGCCCAAAUAAGCAUUUUCUUGGUUUUCGCACAAUAACAUUAGUUUAAGUAAAUAGAAAUCAAUGAAAUUUAAACACAAUGUUAAUGACUACAAAAGGAAGGUUGGUAUUGAUUUUGGGAGUUUAGGUCCCAACAGUUUAGGAAUUAGGGGCCAAAAAGGGACCCAAAUAAGCAUUUUUCUUGGUUUUCGCACCAUAACAUUAGUAUAAGUAAAUAGAAAUCUAUGAAAUUUAAACACAAGGUUUAUGACCAUAAAAGAAAGGUUGGGUUUGAUUUUGGGAGUUUUGGUCCCAACAUAAUAAGGGGCCCAAAGGGUCCAAAAUUAAACUUUUGUUGAUUUCAUCAAAAUUGAAUAAUUGGGGUUCUUUGAUAUGCUGAAUCUAACUGUCAUGACUGUGUAUGUAGAUUCUUAACUUUUGGUCCCGUUUUCAAAUUGGUCUACAUUAAGGUCCAAAGGGUCCAAAAUUAAACUUUGUUUGAUUUUGACAAAAAAUGAAUCAGUUAGGUUCUUUGAUAUGCUGAAUCUAAAAAUGUACUUAGAUUCUUGAUUAUUGGCCCAGUUUUCAAGUUGGUCCAAAUCGGGGUCCAAAAUUAAAUUUUGUUUGAUUUCAUCAAAAAUUGAAUAAAUGGGGUUCUUUGAUAUUCCAAAUCUAACUGUGUAUGUAGAUUCUUCAUUUUUGGUCCUGUUUUCAAAUUGGUCUACACUAAAGUCCAAAGGGUCCAAAAUUAAACUUAGUCUGAUUUUAACAAAAAUUGAAAUCUUGAAGUUCUUUGAUAUGCUGAAUCCAAAAAUGUACUUAGAUUUUUUAUUAUGGGCCCAGUUUUCAAGUUGGUCCAAAUCAGGAUCUAAAAUUAUUAUAUUAAGUAUUGUGUAAUAGCAAGUCUUUUCAAUUGCACAGUAUUGCGCAAUGGCAAGAAAUAUCUAAUUGCACAAUAUUGUGAAAUAUCAAAUUUUUUUUUAAUUAGAGUUAUCUUUCUUUGUCCAGAAUAGUAAGCAAGAAAUAUCUAAUUGCAAAAUAUUGUGCAAUAGCAAGAUUUUUUUUUAAUUGGAGUUAUCUUUCUUUGUCCAGAAUCAACUUAAAUCUUUGUUAUAUACAAUAUACAAUGUAUAUUCACUUUUUACUACCAACUGAUAAAUUAAAAUAAUCUUUACCAUUCAGUGAUAACAAGCAGUUUUUUUACAUCUUAAUAUUUUAUGAUGUAUUUAAAUGAGUAGUUAUUGUUGCAAACUCCAUUAGAAAUUUUAAUUGAGAUUAGUUUUGGAAUAAGGGAAAGGGGGAUGUGAUUAAAAAAAUUGGGUUCAAUUUUUCUCAUUUGAAAUUUCAUAAAUAAAAAAGAAAAUUUCUUCAAACAUUUUUUUGAGAGGAUUAAUAUUCAACAGCAUAGUGAAUAGCUCUAAGAGAAACAAAAAUUUUAAGUUCAUUAGAACACAUUCAUUCUGUGUCAGAAACCUAUGCUGUGUCAACUAUUUAAUCACAAUCCAAAUUUAGAGCUGAAUCCAGCUUGAAUGUUGUGUCCAUACUUGCCCUAACCGUUCAGGGUUCAACCUCUGCGGUCGUAUAAAGCUUUGCCCUGCGGAGCAUCUGGUUGGUCCUGUUUUCAAAUUGGUCUACACUAAAGUCCAAAGGGUCCAAAAUUAAACUUAGUCUGAUUUUAACAAAAAUUGAAAUCUUGGGGUUCUUUGAUAUGCUGAAUCCAAAAAAGUACUUAGAUUUUUUAUUAUGGGCCCAGUUUUCAAGUUGGUCCAAAUCAGGAUCUAAAAUUAUUAUAUUAAGUAUUGUGCAAUAGCAAGUCUUUUCAAUUGCACAGUAUUGCGCAACGGCAAGAAAUAUCUAAUUGCACAAUAUUGUGAAAUAGCAAAUUUUUUUUUAAUUAGAGUUAUCUUUCUUUGUCCAGAAUAGUAAGCAAGAAAUAUCUAAUUGCAAAAUAUUGUGCAAUAGCAAGAUUUUUUUUUAAUUGGAGUUAUCUUUCUUUGUCCAGAAUCAACUUAAAUCUUUGUUAUAUACAAUAUACAAUGUAUAUUCACUUUUUACUACCAACUGAUAAAUUAAAAUAAUCUUUACCAUUCAGUGAUAACAAGCAGUUUUUUUACAUCUUAAUAUUUUAUGAUGUAUUUAAAUGAGUAGUUAUUGUUGCAAACUCCAUUAGAAAUUUUAAUUGAGAUUAGUUUUGGAAUAAGGGAAAGGGGGAUGUGAUUAAAAAAAUUGGGUUCAAUUUUUCUCAUUUGAAAUUUCAUAAAUAAAAAAGAAAAUUUCUUCAAACAUUUUUUUGAGAGGAUUAAUAUUCAACAGCAUAGUGAAUUGCUCUAAGAGAAAACAAAAAUUUUAAGUUCAUUAGAACACAUUCAUUCUGUGUCAGAAACCUAUGCUGUGUCAACUAUUUAAUCACAAUCCAAAUUUAGAGCUGAAUCCAGCUUGAAUGUUGUGUCCAUACUUUCCCCAACCGUUCAGGGUUCAACCUCUGCGGUCGUAUAAAGCUACGCCCUGCGGAGCAUCUGGUUACAUACUGACUUAUCUCACUGACCUUGAACAAUGGUUUGUAAGGUUGUGUAAGGAUACAACUUCAGGUUAUUUGUUUAACAGCAGUAGCAACAGUAAAGUCAACAAACAGAGUUAAUAUAUAUGUCUCCUCUAUGAGUCCUUAUGUUUUAUAGCUGUUGCUGUACUAAUACCUGCAGCUAGAAUCUGCUAGAGCGUACACAAUUUUGAUCAGUUCUAAUUUUAUGUCUGAUAGUCAUUCACGGGUGUUGCUUAUAGUAAGACCUAAGACUUUUCUUUGCCCAGUCCCUCUCAUGCCUUAUAGCUGUUGGCACCAAAAAAACUUAAUGCUAGAGGAGACAGACUUUCAGAUUAUAGGACCCCUUUCUACUGCUGAUAUGGGUAUUGUUUUCUCCAGUGUCCCCUUAUAUUUCACAAUACCAUACUUGAGAAUAUUACAUUUAUAAUUCAGUUUUUUGUCAUCUCCGUUUCUAAUCACAUUUACCAAUGCUUUAUAGAAUAUUUUCAGAUCUCCAAUACCUUCUGGGAUUAACUUAUGGAAAUGGCGUUUUUUCCCCUCAACUACUUGAAAUUGAAAUGCCUCAUUUGCAAUAAUUUGUAAAAUGAAUAGAAUAGAAUGAAAAGCUGUUGAAAUAAAUGAGUGGGUGAGGUAUUAUAUAACAACACUCAAAUGUAUAUUUUUUUUAUUCCCUGAACUUUAAACUGAAAUAGAUUUAACACCAUGAACAUAGUGUUUUAUAACCGUCCUGAAUACAAUAAAAGAUUAUAGAACAAGAAGAUGAAACUGAAAAUGAAAAAAUUUCUCAAAUUUGUGGAUUCUUUUGAGAACUUAACAGAUGAAGUAGAUACUCUCAGGUUGCCUUUAUUUAGUAAAACUAUAUGGUAAUAUUUUAUUUCAUUGUUUUAAUGGUUUCUUCCUUAUUCCAGACAUUCAAUAGUCUUCUAGACAAAUAAAGAUAUGUAGUAUAAAUUGAUUGUCUGAACUAUCCACUUGAGAUCAAAAGGACAGAGGACUUUUACAAGUAUAGGUCAUAUUACUGCCUGCAACAAUGAGCAAAACCCAUACAGAUAGUAAGCUUAAAACAAAACAGGAAGCACAAAAUUUGAAACAAGUAAAAAAAAGAAAAAAAAAACAAUGGCCAUAUUUAUCUUAAAACAUCAAAAGAAAGCUAAGAGAUCUGUAUUGCAAAUAAACAAAAAUGCUUUUCAAAAGACAAAAACACAAAGUUCUGAUCUAAGCAUACUCUCAGUUACUGAAUAUUUAAGUUCAAAGAAUACUAUAAAGCAAACCUUGUUUUUUUCAUUAAUUAAUAAACCACUCAACAUGUUCAAAUAUUAUCUAGUAUUUGAUAUAAGUGACAAGUAGCACUAAAAUACCUUUCUAGAUUACUUGUCAUGUAUGCUUGUCCCCAAACCAAGACUCGCACCUGACUUCCACAUGAAACAGUAGUGCAAAAUUUUUGAAUUAUUCCAUGUACAAAAAAUACAGUCCUGGUAUAAUAUAUAUUUAGGGUAGAAACUCAUAGACUUGCGUUCAUUGAAGAAUGCUUAUGAUAAGCAGUUAGUUUUAUCAGAGUAAUCUAAUGCUUUAAAAAUCUGAUAUAGGAAAUUAAAAACAAAUUAAUUAUUUUUUGAAACCAUUCAAUGUUUAUAGAUAUAUUUUUUCAUUAGCUGAGAGAUAUUACUCAGAGCAAAUAAUUCUGUCUGUUGGAGAGAAAAAAUAUUGAUUUUGCAUCUGUACACAAAAAACUAAUAAAUUUUCUCUUCUGGGUUUUAGAUUAAAAGUGAAUGAACUUCAUGUACUGAUAAUUAAUACCAUCAAGAUUAACUUAAGAUUACCUCAUUUUACUUUAAAACAAAAAAGCAUUUGUAAAUAUCAAUACAAGAAAGCCCCAUUUAGCUUGUUAAACCUUUCAGUCCAAACAUGUGAUUUGACUAUGAUGAUUUGGCAUUUAUAGACCUGUUUGCUACAAGGAAACAAUACUGGCUCCAUGGAGCCUCUAGUUUUGUCAGAAUAUUUGUCCUGAAUAUUCUGAUCUGUUUGUGGUAUUGUAUUACAAGUAUGUACUAUUAGAUAACAGGUUUCUAUUCAGUAACAUUUUAUUACUAACCCUUGGGUAUUGAACUCUUUUAUUCUAGCUUAAUUUGCCAUAUUUCUUUAUUCUUCCUGGUUGAGAACAGUUUGUUAACUAUGUAAAUUUAUCUGCAAAUAGUGACUUGGAUUUUUCUAGCAUUCCUUUGAGUCUAGAUAAUAAAUGACAGAACUAUUUCAGAAUUUAGUAGUCAUGUAUUAUUACCCUAAAGGCAAUUUCAUACAUAUUCUUUACAUUUGUGCCAUCCAAGAAAUUGUAGUCAUAUUCUUCUCCACAACUACAAAUGUGCAAAUCUGAGCUUCUUUAUUUUGAUAUUAAUUUUCAAGCUUUACUGUGUGAUUUGUUUUCUAAUUUAUCUAUGUUAUUUCUGUUUAUCAAUUAUCAUACAUAUGUAUGUUCUUUAUUAUUCUUCAGGUUUGCAGAAUACACAUGUAUGUUCUUCAUUGUUGUUUCUGUUUGCAGAAUACACAUGUAUGUUCUUCAUUGUUGUUUCUGUUUGCAGCAUACACAUGUAUGUUCUUCAUUGUUGUUUCUGUUUGCAGAAUACACAUGUAUGUUCUUCAUUGUUGUUCUGUUUGCAGAAUACACAUGUAUGUUCUUCAUUGUUGUUUCUGUUUACAGAAUACACAUGUAUGUUCUUCAUUGUUGUUUCUGUUUGCAGCAUACACAUGUAUGUUCUUCAUUGUUGUUUCUGUUUGCAGAAUACACAUGUAUGUUCUUCAUUGUUGUUUCUGUUUUGAGCAUACAUAUGUAUGUUUUUUAUUGCUCUACCUGUUUUCAGCAUACAUGUAUGUUCUUCAUUUUUAUACGACCGCAAAAAUUACAAAAAUUUGGUCAUAUAUUGGUAUCACGGCGGCGUCUGCGUCGUCGUAGUCGUCGUCAGCGUCAUCCGAAAACGGAUUGUUUCCAGAUAAUAACUUUUGAAAGAAAUCAAUAAAAUUUAAACACAAUGUUUAUAACCACAAAAGGAAGCUUGAGAUUGAUUAGUUUCAGGACAAAAAGUUGUGUAUUAGUAUUUCAAUUGUUCUGAAAUUGUAACAAAAUGUUUUAUACCAUAAGUAGAAGGUUGGGAUUUAUUUUAAGGGGUUAUUGGGAAAACAGUCUAGGAAUUAAGGGCCAAAAAGGGGCCAAAACAAGCAUUUUUCUAGUUUUAAGACAAUAACUUGUGUGUAACUGUAUGGAUCUCUCUGACAUUGUACCACAAGUUUCCAUAUAACACAGGGAAGGAUUCAGUUUGGGGUUAAUUUUCUCGAAUAUGUAGGAUAAAGGGGCCAAAAAAGAGCCAAUAAGAAGCAUUUUUAUACGACCCGCAAAAAUUGAAAAUUUUUUGGUCGUAUAUUGGUAUCACGUCGUCGUCGUCGUUGUCUGAAUACUUUUAGUUUUCGCACUCUAACUUUAGUAAAAGUGAAUAGAAAUCUAUGAAAUUUUAACACAAGGUUUAUGACCACAAACUUGCCCCAACCGUUCAGGGUUCAACCUCUGCGGUCGUAUAAAGCUGCGCCCUGCGGAGCAUCUGGUUCUACUUUACAGACAAUAACUUGUGUUUAAGUGUAUGGAUCUCUAUAAAUUUUUACAAGAAGGUUUAAUACCACUAAAGGAAGGUUGGGAUUGAUUUUGGGGGUUAUGGUCCCAAUAGUUUAGGAAUUAGGGGCCAAAUGGGGGCCCAAAAUAAUCAUUUUUGCAGUUUUCAAACAAUAACUUAUGUUUUAGUUUAUGAAUCUCUCUGAAAUUAAACCACAAGUUUCAAUACCAUGGAGGGAUGGUUAGUAUGGACGUUGGCGGUUAUGGCUCAAAACAUUUCGGAAUUAGGGGCAAAAAAGGGGAAAAACUAGGUAUUUCUGGUCAAUAGACAAUUAAGACAAUUUAAAAGCAGUGUAAGGGAGGUAAUUCUAAAACAUUUAACAUACAAUGUUGGGUAUGUUCGGAUUUACCUCCCUUACCCUUCUUUUAUAUUAUGUAUAUAGAAAUGUCAUGUUUUGGACUAAUUGCCAAAAAAGGGGGAGGGUAAUAAGGUGUUUUCAAUUUUUUAUGCCCCACCUACGAUAGUAGAGGGGCAUUAUGUUUUCUGGUCUGUGCGUCCGUUCGUUCGUUCGUCCGUCCGUCUGUUCGUUCGUUCGUUCGUCUGUUCGUUCAUCCGUCUGUCCCGCUUCAGGUUAAAGUUUUUGGUCAAGGUAGUUUUUGAUGAAGUUGAAGUCCAAUCAACUUGAAACUUAGUACACAUGUUCCUUAUGAUAUGAUCUUUCUAAUUUUUAAAGCCAAAUUAAACUUUUGACCCCAAUUUCACGGUCCACUGAACAUAGAAAAUGAAAGUGCAUGUUUCAGGUUAAAGUUUUUGGUCAAGGUAGUUUUUGAUGAAGUUGAAGUCCAAUCAACUUGAAACUUAGUACACAUGUUCCUUAUGAUAUGAUCUUUCUAAUUUUAAAGCCAAAUUAAACUUUUGACCCCAAUUUCACGGUCCACUGAACAUAGAAAAUGAAAGUGCAUGUUUCAGGUUAAAGUUUUUGGUCAAGGUAGUUUUUGAUGAAGUUGAAGUCCAAUCAACUUGAAACUUAGUACAAAUGUUCCCUUUGGUAUUAUCUUUCUAAUUUAAAGCCGAAUUAUAUUUUUUAUCCAAUUUCACGGUCCAUUGAACAUGGAAAAUGAUAGUGGGAGUGGGGCAUCCGUGUACUUUGGACACAUUCUUGUUUUUUUCAAAUUUCUCAAAUUCCAAAUUUUUGAAAAGUUAAAAGAAGUAAUCUUUAAUUAAACAAUAUUGUGCAAUAAAUUUGUAAGAUCUUGACAUUUGUUUUGUGUCAGAAACUCGUAUUAUGUCAAAAAUUUUAUCGCAAUCCAAAUUCAGAGCCGUAUCAAGCUUGAAUGUUGUGUCCAUACUUUGCAGCUUACACAUGUUUGUUCUUUAUUGUUCUACCUGUUUGAAGCAUACAUAUGUAUGUUCUUCAUUGUUCUAUCUGUUUGAAGCAUACAUAUGUAUGUUAUUCAUUGUUCUACCUGUUUGAAGCAAACAUAUGUAUCUUCUUCAUUGUUUUACCUGUUUUAAGCAUACACAUGUAUGUUUGUCAUUGUUCUUCCUGUUUGUAGCAUACAUAUGUAUGUUCUACCUAUUUGAAGCAUAUAUAUGUAUGUUCUUCAUUGUUCUACCUGUUUGAAGCAUACACAUGUAUGUUCUUUAUUAUACUUUUUUUGGACCAUUUUCCCCAGCAACUAUAAAAGCUCAUUGAUAUUCAGUACCAAGCUUCAUAUUGGUAACCUUUGCAGUUUGACAAGAUAAAUUUCUAUAUCAUCUUCCUGUAUGUUACAUAAUUGUAUACUCUUCAGUCUUCACAUUGAUGCACAUAUAAAAUGUUAAUGUUUUUCUCAGGAAGUCCAAGUCAGAGGCUUUUGUGUGCAUAUCCAUUGUUAGCAUUUACAUUGUAUGAUAUUGUAUUUUCUUUCACUUGAAAGUGAAGAAUAAGGAAGAGUAGUACUUCAUAUUACAACUUGAAUGGUUAAAGAAUAAACUGUCAGCUACAGACUGCUUAUUUAUAAAGUAGCUCUUAAGACUUAUUAUUCUACCAUUGAGUUCUCUCUCUUGCUUAUUGUAUAUUCUUUAUUAAGAAAAAAGUCAGCAUGGACCAAAUCUUGUGAUGGCCGAACAGAGUCUUGACCAGUGACCAAAUAAGAUAAUGACACGCAGUUAAAAGUACAUCCAAAAGAUACCAUUGAGACAUGUAUCAUCCAUGUUUGUUUUAAUGUUUAAACCUAAUUUAUGAGAAAUUUAAGAUUUAUUAUUAUCUUGGAAAAGUAGUGGAAGCAAAAUUGUAAUAUUUGUUAUUUUUAUUCUUGCAGGUAAUUAAUGGCUAAAGACCAGGUAAGUUUCUCAUAUUUAUCAUGUUUAUAACUUACUGUAUUUCAUUAUCAGAAAAAUCUAAAAAGUUCAAAGAUUUUAGUCAAAAUAUGUACUGAUAUAGAUAUAAAAGAUGAGGAAGCUUAUAUGAUUUACAACUAGACAUCUAUUAUUCAUGUUUGUUAUAAUGAUGUUAAUGGAACUUUUUGAGGAAGAAUUUUGAUUAAAAACGUAAGGACACAAACAUUUUGGGCAUAUUGCAACUUUUCAACAAUGAUGUCAGUUAUUUUGCACAUUGUAUCUUCUAGUACUGGUUAAUUUACCUUGAUUAAUAAAAAAAAAGGGAUUAAAAGAACAAAGUGUAGCUGUUUUAUAAUACAGGUGAAGGUACCAAAGAGGCAGUAAAACUCAUAAGUCAAAAAUAAACUGACAACACCAUGGCUAAAUAGAAAAAAGACAAACAGACAACAGUUUAAAGAACAAAAAGGAAGCAGAAAUAUAGAGGACAAACAAAAACCAUAAGUCAAAGAAAAAAAAGAACAUACAAUUAAAAACCAAUUGUUCAGAGAACAAUUGAAGGUCUUUCCACCAG
rnacentral:lncRNA from 1 species